GGGUAGGCAGGGUGAGAAUCCCAAGGCGCUUGAGAGAACUCGGGUGAAGGAACUAGGCAACAUAGCACCGUAGCUUCGGGAGAAGGUGCGCCCGGUUUUGUGAUGAUAUGCAUCAUUGAGCAAAACUGGGCCGCAGUGACCAGGCCGCUGCGACUGUUUAUCAAAAACACAGCACUCUGCAAACACGAAAGUGGACGUAUAGGGUGUGACGCCUGCCCGGUGCUGGAAGGUUAAUUGAUGGGGUCAGCCGCAAGGUGAAGCUCUUGAUCGAAGCCCCAGUAAACGGCGGCCGUAACGAUAACGGUCCUAAGGUAGCGAAAUUCCUUGUCGGGUAAGUUCCGACCUGCACGAAUGGCGUAACGACAGCGGCGCUGUCUCCACCCGAGACUCAGUGAAAUUGAAAUCGCUGUGAAGAUGCAGCGUUCCCGCGGCAAGACGGAAAGACCCCGUGAACCUUUACUAUAGCUUUACAUUGAACGUUGAGUUCGUCUGUGUAGGAUAGGUGGGAGCCUUUGAAGUCCAGGCGCUAGCUUGGAUGGAGGCAACCUUGAAAUACCACCCUGAUGUGCUCGACGUUCUAACCUCGACCCGUUAUCCGGGUCAGGGACCAUGUAUGGUGGGUAGUUUGACUGGGGCGGUCUCCUCCCAAAGAGUAACGGAGGAGCACGAAGGUGCGCUCAGCACGGUCGGACAUCGUGCAGUGUGUGUAAAGGCAUAAGCGCGCUUGACUGCGAGAUCGACGGAUCAAGCAGGUACGAAAGUAGGUCUUAGUGAUCCGGUGGUUCUGUAUGGAAGGGCCAUCGCUCAACGGAUAAAAGGUACUCCGGGGAUAACAGGCUGAUACCGCCCAAGAGUUCAUAUCGACGGCGGUGUUUGGCACCUCGAUGUCGGCUCAUCGCAUCCUGGGGCUGUAGUCGGUCCCAAGGGUAUGGCUGUUCGCCAUUUAAAGCGGUACGCGAGCUGGGUUCAGAACGUCGUGAGACAGUUCGGUCCCUAUCUGUCGUGGGCGUUGGAGGUUUGAGAGGGGCUGCUCCUAGUACGAGAGGACCGGAGUGGACGUAUCUCUGGUGUUCCGGUUGUCACGCCAGUGGCACUGCCGGGUAGCUAUAUACGGAAGAGAUAACCGCUGAAAGCAUCUAAGCGGGAAACUCGCCUCAAGAUGAGACCUCCCGGGACUUAAGUCCCCUAAAGGAACGAUCUAGACCAGGUCGUUGAUAGGCUGGGUGUGUACAACCGC
rnacentral:rRNA from 1 species